ensembl:lncRNA MRPL23-AS1 MRPL23 antisense RNA 1
AUGGAGCGAGACCCAGCCCGGCCUGGGCCCUCACUCCCCAGGCCCACACACUAGCCCACUGUUCAGGGUCCGGGGUGGCAGCAUGGCCUGGGGGUCCUGGCACCGCUGCUCCUCUGCCCACCCUAACUUCCCGGCAUGGCGGCUGCCCCCUCUGAGCGUCCCCAACCAAACUGCAGGGGAUAUGAAGCAAGCUGGACUUGGGGAGACAUCUCUGCUCGAGUGCACGUUGGCCUGAUGACGACUGCUCUUGGGUUCACGGGUUCCAGGCUCUGCCCGGGAGCCUCAUGCAAACUGGUCCCGUUCUACAGACGAGGAAACUGAGGCACAGAGUGAUUACGGCUGUCCCUGAGCUCCUGCAGCCAGUAAGUGUCUCUGAGGAUGAACUGCCAUGUGCCCGGCGGGGAUGCCGUCCCUGGCCCUUGCUGAGUGCCUCUGGGACGAGGUCAGCUGAGCCUGCCAUCCUAACUCAGACACCAUCUCACUCUCCAAGUCCCUUCUCGGCCCAGCAAAUUCUCACCUCCAGAGGCCAGGUCUGCCCCGCAGGUCUUAGGAAAUACAGCCCUACUUCCAUCCAGCACACCAACCCAAGGAAGUGCCUCGGAGCCCUGGGGCCCGAGGGGGGCCUGGCCUUGGUCUCACGGCGGCAGCUCCACCUGGAGAGGAGUGAACUCAAGCCAGGACGCCCCGUCUCCACAGCGGAAACCGUGUUGCCGGCUGCUCCCUCCUGGGGACUCUGGGCCUGAGGUUCCUGUGGGAGUUGGGGGGAUAGCUGAGUCCUAUGGAGGUGCCCCUCUCCUCCCCGCCCAGUGGAGCUUGGGGUGGGGACAGGCGAAGACAGGGUGAGAAGCACGGGGCAUUCCCCCUCCACACAGCGCUGAGAAAGUAAGGGAGCAUCCAGAAAACGGUGCCCACUUCCGCGUCAGGCGGAUAUCACGGGCACCAGCUCCAGGUGACCCUAGCCCAGCCAGAGAACAAGGACCAGGUUGUGCCGCAAAGCCCGUGUCCGCUCCCUCCCGCCUGGGACCACUGUGGCGAGGGGAAGGGAGCGUGGUGGCCCUCUCCUGACUCCUGAGGCCUGAAGUCCAAGCUCCCGGCCCUCAGGCAGGCCAGGGUCUAGACACCGCUGCCCCAAACACACCCCCCAGUCCCCGCCCGCAGGCUUCCUGCAGGAUCCCCCAGUGCACCUGGGGGCUGAGGAGAGUGAGCAGGGCGCAAAGAAGCUUCGUCGGGAGGGCGGUCCCCACCCGCCUUGGACCCCCGGGGAUAGUGUCCUGGGGCCUGGGCUCAGAUGCACCCUGGGAGGAAUGGUGCGGAGGCUGUUUUUUGCUCCAAGAGGACAUUGCCUCAGCAGAGGGCUGCCGAGCUGGGAGGACCCACAGUGCAAGGCCGCAGAACCCCCUAGGAAGCCUCAGAGCCUUCAGGUUCCGGGCUGAGGCUGUGGGCGUGGACCCUUGUGCAAACCCCACUGGAAGAAAAACCUUACAGCUCAGGAGGAGGAGGGGCCCCACCCGCUCCCAGAGCCCGUAAACGAGGGGUGGUGCCCACAUGAGGCCUGGGGAAGGGCUGGGGCUGGGACACCCCCUCACCACCCCCAGAUACCCCAGGCAGCCCCUCCCUCCACAGAGAGACCCACUGGGCCUGACCCUGCCCUGGGCACAGGGUCGAGCCAGGGACGGCCCGUGGGAGAAAGACGGCUUCAUGGGCCGCUGGCCGGGCCAGGUGCGUCCUUCCCCAGUUCUAGGUGGCAAAUGGGGUGGGGCCAGAGCCUUCUGGCUAGGGAAGACACUGGCCUGGUUGGUGUGGCAGGGGCAGCGAAGGAGGGUCAAAGGCCACUCUGGCCUGGAAGAGUCCCCAGCCACCUGGACGGGGGUAGCCAGGCCUGGUCCCUGCCCCCACUCUCCAAGGGGUCGGGGCAGCCGGGCAGAGCCAGUAAGUGUUUGUUUUCAGAU